GAUCCUGGCUCAGGAUGAACGCUAGCUACAGGCUUAACACAUGCAAGUCGAGGGGCAGCAUGAACUUAGCUUGCUAAGUUUGAUGGCGACCGGCGCACGGGUGAGUAACACGUAUCCAACCUUCCGUUUACUCAGGGAUAGCCUUUCGAAAGAAAGAUUAAUACCUGAUAGUAUGGUGAGAUUGCAUGAUAACACCAUUAAAGAUUUAUUGGUAAACGAUGGGGAUGCGUUCCAUUAGGUAGUAGGCGGGGUAACGGCCCACCUAGCCUGCGAUGGAUAGGGGUUCUGAGAGGAAGGUCCCCCACAUUGGAACUGAGACACGGUCCAAACUCCUACGGGAGGCAGCAGUGAGGAAUAUUGGUCAAUGGACGAGAGUCUGAACCAGCCAAGUAGCGUGAAGGAUGACUGCCCUGUGGGUUGUAAACUUCUUUUAUACGGGAAUAAAGUGAGCCACGUGUGGCUUUUUGUAUGUACCGUAUGAAUAAGGAUCGGCUAACUCCGUG
rnacentral:rRNA from 1 species